AUAUCACGUUGAAAAAUUAGUUCUCAUACGAUCACCAAAGUUAAGCAAUGUCGUGCCUGAUCAGUACCUAGAUGGGUGACCGCUUGGCAAUACCAGGUGCUGUAAG